GAUGAACGCUGGCGGCGUGCUUAACACAUGCAAGUCGAACGGAAAGGCCCUGCUUUUGUGGGGUGCUCGAGUGGCGAACGGGUGUGUAACACGUGAGUAACCUGUCCUUGACUUUGGGAUAUCUCCAGGAAACUGCGUCUCAUACCGGAUAGGAUCUCCUGCUGCACGGUGGUCGUUGGAAAGUUUCGGCGGUUGGGGAUGGACUCGCUGCUUAUCAGCUUGUUGGUCGGGUAGUUGCUUUCCAAGGCUUCGACGGGUAGCCGGCCUGGGAGGGGGGCCGGCCACAUUGGGACUGAGAGAGGGACCAGACGCCUACGGGAGGCAGCAGUGGAGAGUAUUGCACAAUGGGCGGGAGCCUGAUGCAGCAACGCCGCGUGCGGGAUGACGGCCUUCGGGUUGUAAACCGCUGUCGCCUGUGACGAAGCGUGAGUGACGGUAAUGGGUAAAGAAGCACCGGCUAACUACGUG
rnacentral:rRNA from 1 species